rnacentral:rRNA from 1 species
AACGAACGCUGGCGGCAUGCCUAACACAUGCAAGUCGAACGAUGGUCUUCGGAUCAUAGUGGCGCACGGGUGCGUAACGCGUGGGAAUCUGCCCUUGGGUUCGGAAUAACAGUUGGAAACGACUGCUAAUACCGGAUGAUGUCGAUAAGACCAAAGAUUUAUCGCCCGAGGAUGAGCCCGCGUCGGAUUAGCUAGUUGGUGGGGUAAAGGCCUACCAAGGCGACGAUCCGUAGCUGGUCUGAGAGGAUGAUCAGCCACACUGGGACUGAGACACGGCCCAGACUCCUACGGGAGGCAGCAGUGGGGAAUAUUGGACAAUGGGCGCAAGCCUGAUCCAGCAAUGCCGCGUGAGUGAUGAAGGCCUUAGGGUUGUAAAGCUCUUUUAACCGGGAAGAUAAUGACUGUACCGGGAGAAUAAGCCCCGGCUAACUCCGCG